GGCAAGCAAGGUAUUAGGUCUUGAACAUAUGGAUGUUCUAAGAUUAAUAAUAUCUCAACCCAGAGAUGGACACUUCAUAUGAGAUAUGGUGUGUUCCUUAAUUUGCUUCAUAGAUUUUUAUUAUUGUCUCUUUCUGAGGAUAUGUCCCAAAAAUUGCUGUAUGAAUUAGAUACUAUAAAAAUCUAUUACAAGCACUCCAUAUGUGAUAUGAAAAGAGCAAAAGGUAGGUUGCCCAACUUAUGUGAAAAAGAUUGAUGUACAUAAGUUUGUACUAGAACAGAUUUUUAUAAGUAUA
rnacentral:lncRNA from 1 species